rnacentral:rRNA from 1 species
UAGGGAAUAUUGCACAAUGGGGGAAACCCUGAUGCAGCAACGCCGCGUGAGUGAAGAAGGCCCUUGGGUUGUAAAGCUCUUUAGCCUGGGAAGAGGCUUCGUUAGGUAAAUAAUCUAGCGGGGUGACGGUACCAGGAGAAUAAGCACCGGCUAAUCUCGUGCCAGCAGCCGCGGUAAUACGAGAGGUGCAAGCGUUACUCGGAAUCACUGGGCGUAAAGCGCACGUAGGCGGAUUGGUAUGUCAAUUGUGAAAUACCUGGGCUCAACCCGGGAACUGCAGUUGAAACUGCCUUUCUUGAAUGCUUGAGAGGGUGGGGGAAUACCUAGUGGAGAAGUGAAAUUCGUAGAGAUUAGGUGGAACACCGGAGGCGAAGGCGCCUGCCUGGCAAUGCAUUGACGC